GCACUGCUGAAGAGUCCCAUAAUAGGGCGAACCGGUCGUCCAGUGC
rfam:Schistosoma mansoni, Puerto Rico, WGS project CABG01000000 data, contig: 0111